rnacentral:tRNA from 27 species
GUGGCUGUAGCUCAGUUGGUAGAGUCCCAGAUUGUGAUUCUGGUUGUCGUGGGUUCGAAUCCCAUCAGUCACCCCA